GACGAACGCUGGCGGCGUGCUUAACACAUGCAAGUCGAACGGAAAGGCCCUGCGUUUGUGGGGUGCUCGAUUGGCGAACGGGUGAGUAACACGUGAGGAACCUGCCCUUGACUUUGGGAUAACUUCAGGAAACUCGGGCGAAUACCGGAUAGGAGCUCCUGCUGCAUAUUGGGGGUUGGAAAGUUUCGGCGGUUGGGGAUGGACUCGCAGGUUAUCAGCUUGUUGGUGUGGUAGUGGCGUACGAAGGCUUUGACGGGUAGGCGGCCUGAGAGGGUGACCGGCCACAUUGGGCCUGAGAUACGGCCCAGACGCCUACGGGAGGCAGCAGUGGGGAAUAUUGCAGAGUGGGCGGAAGCCUGAGGCAGCAACGCCGCGUGCGGGAUGACGGCCUUCGGGUUGUAAACCGCUUUCGCAUGUGACGAAGAGUGAGUGACGGUAAUGGGUAAAGAAGCACCGGCUAACUACGUG
rnacentral:rRNA from 1 species